rnacentral:rRNA from 1 species
GUUUAUCAAAAACAUGUCUUUUUGGAUUUAAUUUAAAGUCUAGCCUGCCCACUGAUUUAUUAAAUGGCCGCAGUAUUUUGACUGUGCAAAGGUAGCAUAAUCAUUAGUCUUUUAAUUGAAGGCUGGAAUGAAUGGUUGGAUGAAAUAUUAACUGUUUCAUAUAAAUUUAUAUAAAAUUUUAUUUUUUAGUUAAAAAGCUAAAAUUUUUUUAAAAGACGAGAAGACCCUAUAAAUCUUUAUAUUUUAUUUUAUAAUUUUUAUAAAGAUGAUUUAAAUUUUUAUUAUAUAAAAUAUUUUAUUGGGGUGAUAUUAAAAUUUAUAGAACUUUUAAUUAAAUUUUACAAUUAUUAUUGAAAUAUUGAUCCAUAUUUAAUGAUUAAGAAAUUAAGUUACUUUAGGGAUAACAGCGUAAUUUUUUUAGAGAGUUCAUAUUAAUAAAAAAGUUUGCGACCUCGAUGUUGGAUUAAGAUAAAAUUUAGGUGAAGAA